rnacentral:rRNA from 1 species
GGAAGUAAAAGUCGUAACAAGGUCUCCGUUGGUGAACCAGCGGAGGGAUCAUUAGCGAGUGCAAACUCCAUAAACCCAC